rnacentral:ncRNA from 1 species
AAACAAACUUGGAUUAGAAGAGUAAGUUAAAGGAUAAGUCAAAGUGAGUCUGUGAUAGUGAGAAACAGAUACAAAUAUUUUAACCCAAAAACAUCUAUGAGUUUCAAUCUGAAAGAAAUUUUUUUAGUAGGUGAGACGUACCUGAUGCGUUAAAUCAGUAGAUAUCGGCUUUUAGCCCGUAUUGAAUCGAGAUUUGGAUUAUUUAUAAUCAAAUUGGGUGGUACCGCGAAACUUAACCUUUCGUCCCUUUA